AAGUGUCAUACCAUAAGGGGGCAAGGGGUGCAGUGAUCUAAAAGGGAUGUUUGGAAAGGCUAUGGUAGACCUACCCUGCAAUACUAAUGUCUUACAGCAGUUAUUGGUGAGGAAAUUACUCUUUCAAUUGCAAUUCUGUCAUCCAUUAAACUCCAGCACCAAAACAGCACAGGGCCUUUUAUCUCCUUCCACCAAUGGGUUAAGGAGUGGUUUCUCUGAAAAAACAUCUAGUUCGAGAAGGGGGAAAGAGUGGCAGAAAAUUGAGAAGAUCAAAUUGUUGACAUGUAUUAUCCAAAUGAUGCAUGCGACAUGCAAUAUAAUCCCUCGUUCACAACUUACUAUCCUGCAUUCUGUUUCGGUUUAUCCCAGUAUUGUGUCUGCUUUCUUAGAAGGGUCUGUGGAGCUUUCUACAUUCCUCUACUUCUCCUCCAGUAUUUCACAAUAAGAAGAGUACCAUAAGACACAAAUU